UGUUCUCGAGUGAUCUGUCAAAAUGGUGGAACUUGCGUGGACGGCAUCAACACCUAUAGCUGUAAUUGUGAUCUUGGCUAUGAAGGAGAUCACUGUGAAACAAACACCGACGACUGUGUUGGUGUGACCUGUCAAAAUGGUGGAACUUGCGUGGACGGCGUCAACACCUAUAGCUGUAAUUGUGAUGUUGGCUAUGAAGGAGAUCACUGUGAAACAAACACCGACGACUGUGAUGGUGUGACCUG